CCUACGGGUGGCAGCAGUGGGGAAUAUUGGGCAAUGGGGGCAACCCUGACCCAGCAACGCCGCGUGGGUGAAGAAGGCUUUCGGGUUGUAAACUUCUGUUAUCCGGGACGAAGCAGGUGACGGUACCUGAUGAAUAAGCCACGACUAACUACGUGCCAGCAGCCGCGGUAAUACGUAGGUGGCAAGCAUUAUCCGGAUUUACUGGGUGUAAAGGGGGCGUAGGCGGGAGUGCAAGUCAGAGGUGAAAACCAGGGGCUCAACCAAUAGCCUGCUUUUGAAACGGUGCUUCUUGAGUGCAGGAGAGGCAAUCGGAAUUCCGUGUGUAGCGGUGAAAUGCGUAGAUAUACGGAGGAACACCAGUGGCGAAGGCGGAUUGCUGGACAGUAACUGACGCUGAGGCGCGAAGGCGUGGGGAGCAAACAGGAUUAGAUACCCGGGUAGUC
rnacentral:rRNA from 1 species